CAGGAGAUGCUCUUUCACGUCCUCCCUGUUACACUGCUCCCUUCCAGCUGCCUCAGCAAGGCUGGUCUGGGCAAGGGGGAGCAAGUGAUACCCAUGGCACAAAUAGGGACAGACCCAGCUCCAGGUGGAGAAGCAAAGCUGGCAAGAAGCCAGACUGCAGAAAACACAUGGGAACACCAAGCCUGAAGGAACAAGAAAAGGACAGAGAGAAGAACCAAAAGGAUAAUUGCAGGCAGGGAGUCUGAGCUGUUUGCCAGAGCAGAGGAUCCUUAGUGGUGGGACAGAAACACGCUGCAGCUGCACAGAAAUGCAUGGAUCUCACUAGCUCAUAUCCUGAAGAUCUUUGGUCUUUGGCACUAUGGUCUGGGCACCAAACUCUUGCAGGUUGCUACACUGGGAAGCUGGGAAGCAGAACCUCCCCCGAAGGAUUCACAGCACCAUCCACAUCAGCAUCGCUGCAGCUGUGGGCUCCUUGUCUCCUCUGCAAGUGUCUCCUCAGGGGAUGUUUCUGCUAACAGGGCUGUGCAAGUCAGACUGAGGAGCUCUGGGCAAACAGGAUUUGCCAUCUCCAGUCAGAGGCAACAAAACUGUUUCCUGCACAACCUGAACUGGCAGCUGCAGGUGUCUAAACUCGGAGGGAAAAGGGCAGUAGGGAAGAAUAAAGACAGAGGGAUAGAGGCAACCCCACCACAUAGUCUUAAUGCAUUUCUUUUUUCCUGGAAGAGCUGCCCCGAGCACUGGGAUCUCUCCUUUGCUCUCUGAGAGUUGGUGGCUCACGCCUGUCAGUUCAUAAGGAUCACGGGUAGCUCUGAGAGCAUCUCAGAGGGUGAAAUCUCUUCCUUCCCCUCUCUCCAACUCCGAUCUGCCAUGCUGGAGCUGGUACAUGCCAUAUGUGCCCUGUCCCCAUGAGUCACAGCCAGCAGAGUCCAGCUCUCCUCCCCAUAACAGGCAGAGCUUGGCCUCUGGCUGCUUCCUUGGCUCUUUCCAUCACAGGCCUUGUUUCAUCUACAUCUCAACUUUGCCAGAAGUGAACAGUUUGAACCGAAAUUGCCCACACUGAUUAUCCCUUUUGGGUUUUCAGUCAAAACCUUUCUGGUGUUUCCACUGGGAACAGCCAGCUGCACUGGGAAGGGAAAGGCUGAGGAACUGAGGGGCUGGAGGAGGGGAUUGGGCAUGGAGGGAGAGAGGUUUGCAAGAGGCAGGGAAGCAGAUACAGGUGCUGUGAUCUUGACUGUGCAUUGUGUUUCAGUGGCUGCCACAGGAUUGUGCAAAAGUGGAGAGAGGUGGUGCAGGAGAACCAGAGAAGCUUCAGCCCCAGCCCACCUUCCUUGAGCAGAUGUUUCACUGCCACAAUUCUGGAGGCAAAGUCAUGAGAGCUGGGGCAGGAGAAGAGCUGCUGAGUUGCUCAGCAGCCAGCAGGAUGGCCUGUUGCCUCCCUCCUUGGCAGCUGUGUGUGGUGGGGCCCCCCCAAAACGUGAUGGAAGGUUGGGAUGUGGCUCCUUCCAGGGAACCCUGGGUGGCAUAUAGCUACAUUUAAU